rnacentral:rRNA from 2 species
AGCAUAUCAAUAAGCGGAGGAAAAGAAACCAACAGGGAUUGCCCUAGUAACGGCGAGUGAAGCGGCAACAGCUCAAAUUUGAAAUCUGGCUCUUUCAGAGUCCGAGUUGUAAUUUGCAGAGGGCGCUUUGGCUUUGGCAGCGGUCCAAGUUCCUUGGAACAGGACGUCACAGAGGGUGAGAAUCCCGUACGUGGUCGCUAGCUAUUGCCGUGUAAAGCCCCUUCGACGAGUCGAGUUGUUUGGGAAUGCAGCUCUAAAUGGGAGGUAAAUUUCUUCUAAAGCUAAAUAUUGGCCAGAGACCGAUAGCGCACAAGUAGAGUGAUCGAAAGAUGAAAAGCACUUUGGAAAGAGAGUCAAACAGCACGUGAAAUUGUUGAAAGGGAAGCGCUUGCAGCCAGACUUGCUUGCAGUUGCUCAUCCGGGCUUUUGCCCGGUGCACUCUUCUGCAGGCAGGCCAGCAUCAGUUUGGGCGGUGGGAUAAAGGUCUCUGUCACGUACCUCUCUUCGGGGAGGCCUUAUAGGGGAGGCGACAUACCACCAGCCUGGACUGAGGUCCGCGCAUCUGCUAGGAUGCUGGCGUAAUGGCUGUAAGCGGCCCGUCUUGAAACACGGACCAAGGAGUCUAACAUCUAUGC